UACGGAGGGGGCUAGCGUUGUUCGGAAUUACUGGGCGUAAAGCGCGCGUAGGCGGACCUGCAAGUCGGGGGUGAAAGCCCGAGGCUCAACCUCGGAAUUGCCUUCGAUACUGCGGGUCUCGAGUCCGGGAGAGGUGAGUGGAAUUCCUAGUGUAGAGGUGAAAUUCGUAGAUAUUAGGAAGAACACCAGUGGCGAAGGCGGCUCACUGGCCCGGUACUGACGCUGAGGCGCGAAAGCGUGGGGAGCAAACAGG
rnacentral:rRNA from 1 species